rfam:Scleropages formosus scaffold16071, whole genome shotgun sequence.
CAGCUGGUAGCAUAGUGAUUAAAGCAUCUGUCUUAGGGUCAGAAGGUCACAGGUUCAAAUCCUGCCAGCUAC